rnacentral:tRNA from 1 species
AGGCGCGUAGCUCAGAUGGAAGAGCACUACCCUGACACGGUAGGGGUCAAGAGUUCAAAUCUCUUCGCGCCUACCA